rnacentral:tRNA from 1 species
GGAGAGGUACUCAAGUGGUUGAAGAGGAGGGUUUGCUAAACCCUUAGGGGUACGUUAAGUGCCCGCGGGAGUUCGAAUCUCCCCCUCUCCGCCA